UACAGAGGUCCCGAGCGUUGUUCGGAUUCACUGGGCGUAAAGGGUGCGUAGGUGGUUGGGUAAGUUUGAUGUGAAAGCUCAGGGCUUAACCCUGAAAUGGCAUUGAAUACUACUUAACUGGAGGGUUGGAGGGGGGACUGGAAUUCUUGGUGUAGCAGUGAAGUGCGUAGAUAUCAAGAGGAACACCAGUGGCGAAGGCGAGUCCCUGGACAACACCUGACACUGAGGCGCGAAAGCGAGGGGAGCAAACAGG
rnacentral:rRNA from 1 species